rnacentral:rRNA from 1 species
UAGGGAAUCUUCCGCAAUGGGCGAAAGCCUGACGGAGCAACGCCGCGUGAGUGAUGAAGGUCUUCGGAUCGUAAAACUCUGUUAUUAGGGAAGAACAAAUGUGUAAGUAACUAUGCACGUCUUGACGGUACCUAAUCAGAAAGCCACGGCUAACUACGUGCCAGCAGCCGCGGUAAUACGUAGGUGGCAAGCGUUAUCCGGAAUUAUUGGGCGUAAAGCGCGCGUAGGCGGUUUUUUAAGUCUGAUGUGAAAGCCCACGGGUCAACCGUGGGGGGUCAUUGGAAACUGGAAAACUUGGGUGCAGAAGAGGAAAGUGGAAUUCCAUGUGUAGCGGUGAAAUGCGCAGAGAUAUGGGGGAACACCAGUGGCGAAGGCGACUUUCUGGUCUGUAACUGACGCUGAUGUGCGAAAGCGUGGGGAUCAAAAAGG